rnacentral:rRNA from 1 species
GACGAACGCUGGCGGCGCGCUUAACACAUGCAAGUCGAACGGAAAGGCCUGCUUUCCCUUGUGGAUUGCGGGUACUCGAGUGGCGAACGGGUGAGUAACACGUGAGUGAUCUGCCCCCAACUUGGGUAUAAGCCUGGGAAACUGGGUCUAAUUCCCGAUAGGACUGCAGGGUGGUGCCUGUGGUGGAAAACGAUUUUCUAGUGGUUGGGGAUGAGCUCGCGGCCUAUCAGCUUGUUGGUGGGGUAAUGGCCUACCAAGGCGGCGACGGGUAGCCGGCCUGAGAGGGUGGACGGCCACAUUGGGACUGAGAUACGGCCCAGACUCCUACGGGAGGCAGCAGUGGGGAAUAUUGCACAAGGGGCGGAAGCCGGAUGCAGCGACGCCGCGUGGGGGAUGACGGCCUUCGGGUUGUAAACUCCUUUCGACCGCGAGGAAGCCACCUGGUUGGAAGGGUGGUGACGGUAGUGGUAGAAGAAGCACCGGCUAACUAC